rnacentral:rRNA from 1 species
UGGCGGACGGGUGUGUAAUGUCUGGGAAACUGCCUGAUGGAGGGGGAUAACUACUGGAAACGGUAGCUAAUACCGCAUAACGUCGCAAGACCAAAGAGGGGGACCUUCGGGCCUCUUGCCAUCGGAUGUGCCCAGAUGGGAUUAGCUAGUAGGUGGGGUAACGGCUCACCUAGGCGACGAUCCCUAGCUGGUCUGAGAGGAUGACCAGCCACACUGGAACUGAGACACGGUCCAGACUCCUACGGGAGGCAGCAUG